rnacentral:lncRNA from 1 species
GGACGUGGCGCAUCCAGCGAGCGCCGUGACAGCCCCCACGCAGCCCACAGCAGCUGCAGGCGCUGCCGGAUUGAAGCCGAGCGGCAGCGCGCCGGGCUGGCCGGCCUCGGGAGGAAGCCAUGGCUUGGUCCUGUGUGCCGUGGGUGCUGCGUCCUGGGCUGGGAGCAGCAGGGACCAUGUUAGAUGGAGGCCUUUUGUACAGAUGCUGGGUGCCAGGCCGAAGAUUUAUUAUUCGUCCUUGUUCAUGCAAAUCUUGUGCCUAAAAGUUCGGCCCAGCUGGCAGAAAUGCGCUGGACUGGCUGGGGCCCGGCGAAGCUGAGCCUGAGGCGAGGCGUGUUUACCCGAGGAAGUGCCAACACAGCCCAGAGAACAUAAAAUUGCACCAUGCUGUCCCUCCCUUGCGCUGUCACGGAAACCAGAUGCCAGGAUGGAAAAGCACCAGGAGAUGAAUAAAAAAGCUUCAAGUGCCA